rnacentral:rRNA from 1 species
GACGAACGCUGGCGGCGUGCCUAAUACAUGCAAGUCGAACGAACUCUGGUAUUGAUUGGUGCUUGCAUCAUGAUUUACAUUUGAGUGAGUGGCGAACUGGUGAGUAACACGUGGGAAACCUGCCCAGAAGCGGGGGAUAACACCUGGAAACAGAUGCUAAUACCGCAUAACAACUUGGACCGCAUGGUCCGAGUUUGAAAGAUGGCUUCAGCUAUCACUUUUGGAUGGUCCCGCGGCGUAUUAGCUAGAUGGUGGGGUAACGGCUCACCAUGGCAAUGAUACGUAGCCGACCUGAGAGGGUAAUCGGCCACAUUGGGACUGAGACACGGCCCAAACUCCUACGGGAGGCAGCAGUAGGGAAUCUUCCACAAUGGACGAAAGUCUGAUGGAGCAACGCCGCGUGAGUGAAGAAGGGUUUCGGCUCGUAAAACUCUGUUGUUAAAGAAGAACAUAUCUGAGAGUAACUGUUCAGGUAUUGACGGUAUUUAACCAGAAAGCCACGGCUAACUACGUGCCAGCAGCCGCGGUAAUACGUAGGUGGCAAGCGUUGUCCGGAUUUAUUGGGCGUAAAGCGAGCGCAGGCGGUUUUUUAAGUCUGAUGUGAAAGCCUUCGGCUCAACCGAAGAAGUGCAUCGGAAACUGGGAAACUUGAGUGCAGAAGAGGACAGUGGAACUCCAUGUGUAGCGGUGAAAUGCGUAGAUAUAUGGAAGAACACCAGUGGCGAAGGCGGCUGUCUGGUCUGCAACUGACGCUGAGGCUCGAAAGUAUGGGUAGCAAACAGGAUUAGAUACCCUGGUAGUCCAUACUGUAAACGAUGAAUGCUAAGUGUUGGAGGGUUUCCGCCCUUCAGUGCUGCAGCUAACGCAUUAAGCAUUCCGCCUGGGGAGUACGGCCGCAAGGCUGAAACUCAAAGGAAUUGACGGGGGCCCGCACAAGCGGUGGAGCAUGUGGUUUAAUUCGAAGCUACGCGAAGAACCUUACCAGGUCUUGACAUACUAUGCAAAUCUAAGAGAUUAGACGUUCCCUUCGGGGACAUGGAUACAGGUGGUGCAUGGUUGUCGUCAGCUCGUGUCGUGAGAUGUUGGGUUAAGUCCCGCAACGAGCGCAACCCUUAUUAUCAGUUGCCAGCAUUAAGUUGGGCACUCUGGUGAGACUGCCGGUGACAAACCGGAGGAAGGUGGGGAUGACGUCAAAUCAUCAUGCCCCUUAUGACCUGGGCUACACACGUGCUACAAUGGAUGGUACAACGAGUUGCGAACUCGCGAGAGUAAGCUAAUCUCUUAAAGCCAUUCUCAGUUCGGAUUGUAGGCUGCAACUCGCCUACAUGAAGUCGGAAUCGCUAGUAAUCGCGGAUCAGCAUGCCGCGGUGAAUACGUUCCCGGGCCUUGUACACACCGCCCGUCACACCAUGAGAGUUUGUAACACCCAAAGUCGGUGGGGUAACCUUUUAGGAACCAGCCGCCUAAGGUGGGACAGAUGAUUAGGGUG